rnacentral:lncRNA from 1 species
ACAAGAGUUCUGCUUAGGACUGAGUCUGGACUUGGAGGGGUUGUGGCAGCCUGGGGCCUUUCCUGGGUAUGCUUUUGGAAGAGAUUUAAAAGAGCAAUACAAAACCCACGCUUUUGCGGAGUAUAAAGUUGUUGGAAUAAUUUCCACAGCUGGGAUAUUCCAAUAAGAGUUUUGUGAGACACUCAGCUAAGGAAAAAAUCCCUUUCACUCAUCAUAAAAAUAAUAACCUAAUGUAAUAUUAAAAACAAUUCAGUUAAAUAUUUAAGGCUGAAGAGCAACUCACUUAAUUUUCAGCCUAGCACUAUUUUCUAAUAGCGGGGGCAGCAUACUCAUAUCAUCCUUACUUAAGAAGGAACGGGUGUGUUGGUGGCAGGAGCUCCUUGGGGGAGCAGGGCUCAGGUGGGACAUCAGCCCAGCUGCAGAGGAUGGGGGGAGGAAGGGGAGGGCUGGCCACACUUGCAGGCUGGCUCUGAAAAGGAGCUGCAAAACCCAGCAUGAGAGGCUAUGAAGCUGAAGGAGUAAGACGGGGUGGUGGUACUAGCUGCUGCUGCUGUUGUCUGGGUGGAGUAGCUGAAAAACAUUGUGCAAGAAGGAAGAGAAGAUGUUCAAGCCCCAGGUCCUCUUGAGCUGAUAAUAUUUAUUAUGUAAAACCAGAAUGAAGUCCAGGAGCUUGAUACUUUAAAAACAUCAGAGCUGCAACAAUAUGUGGACCAAAACCAAGGGAGAGGUAAACGUGAGCCCAUGUAGAAAUGCCAUCAUGAAGGCCAAUGAGACCAUCAGCAUCUUGCGAUGGAAGACAAACAGGGGAAUUCCGAGAGUGGUGUAUGUGCCGCUUCUCCUGCAGGACAGAAACCAUUUGCCACACACUUAGAGCCUUGGCUUUCAAAAAGUGGUGCAACACAGUGCAGAAUCAGGGUCAACCACUGUUGCUGCUUUUUAAUAUCAGUAGAGAAAUGACUUUGCACUCAUCGCAUCAAGAGGAUUGUGAAGUUCAGAAAGUACCACCUGCUCUCUUAAGUGGACAGGGAUAAGAAGUGAUGCUGUAAGGAAGGUAAAAGUGAUACGAUAAGAUGUGAAAUGUAAUAGGGAAUGCAAGUAGUUACCAGCAAAACACCAAAAAGCAUCCUCAGUUUGUAAAGCUGUAAAUACCGCUGCUGUGAUCAGUUCCCGGGAAAAUACAGCAGAACAGGCCGUGUACUUGACCACUGAAGAUGUCAAGAUGUUGAAUGUGGUAUGUACCUGAUGUCUGAAGAUGUCAAGAUGUUGUUCAUCUAAUUUGCCCGGUUUAAAAAAGCCUCCAGCUUCUUGCCUUGCUGGAGUGCACCAACCUCCAUCUUCCCCUGGAGCAGCCCUGGGACCCCAGGACCCACCCGCCCAUCUCAGGCUGCUGCUGGAGCCCCAACACCCCCUGCAACCCACAACCUCUCCACCUGGAGUGCAAAUAAAAUAUUCCAUCAGGUUUUAUGUGCUACA